AAAAGAAAAGAAAAAAUGAGACAUCUUAGAUUUACAUUACUAUACAGAAGCACGAGAGAUAUCAUCUCUCUUUUGGAGAACGCGGUCCUUCGAGUGUUAUAAAACGAGGAGAGAUAGAUAUUUUUUUUUUUUUUUUUUACAGAUACUCGACAAUGUCGCACUUUAUCGAUAUGUUCGGACAACUCGCUAUGCUAGCACCGUAUCCACUCCUCGCAUUACUUUUAUGUCUCUCGGUGAGGAGCUUCUGAAAUAUCGGCAGUAAUAUCGCCCGGUCCAAGAGUUCGCCGUCAGAGGCAGCACUAUAUAUUUCCCCACCACUCGAUGUUACGCCAGGCCCAGCUCUUGAACCAACACGGGUUCCACCUCCACCACGGCUUACACCACCUGAUCCGAGGAUACCUUCGCCACUUCCACCAACAUCACCAGCGCGUGGAUUACCACUUGCAUAUUUGCUGUUGUGAAUCGUCGCUACAUUUGGAGUGCUCUGAACGUAUUCCAAGCGAGCCUGCUGAUGACGCAAUUUCGAUUCGGUGUGUCUGCAUUCACGAAUCUUCCGCGAGGCAGCAGCCCGAUGAGGACACUCGGAGAUUGAAUGACCACCGCCGCUUCGACCACGUAAACAUUUCUCUCGCGAUCUCUCCGAAACCGAGCGUUGAAUGAUCGCUGAAGCUAACUCCUCACAUCUUUCUGUUAAAAGGAAAUACGAGCCGAAUACGACGAACAACUGACCUUUAUGAUUCUGAAUGCCAUGCCUCUGGAUAGUGGGCUCUAACAUACAGAGUGUGAUAAUUAAGUUAAACUGUUCGGUGCAAGAUAGCCUUUCGCGGUGAAAUGAUUUUGCGCAACAUAUGUAUCUAUCUUUAUUAAUUUAAUUUUUAUCAUUUUUGUCUACGUAAUCAUUGGUUUAUUAGGUACUAAUUAUAACGUCGACAUAACGUACGAGAAUACGUUAUAUUUAUAAUAUAAAAAAUUCCAUGAUAAAAGCCAUUUGAUGAUAUUUAGCUUGGAUGCAACCGGGAAGAUAUACAUCAACGUAUAAAAAUAAUUAUUAAGCAAUUUGA